UGCGCAGGCGGGCUUGUAAGUCAGUGGUGAAAUACUGCCGCUCAACGGUAGAACUGCCAUUGAUACUGCAAGUCUUGAAUAUGGUUGAGGUAGGCGGAAUGUGUCGUGUAGCGGCGAAAUGCAUAGAUAUGACACAGAACGCCAAUUGCGAAGGCAGCUUACUAAGCCAUUAUUGACGCUGAGGCACGAAAGCGUGGGGAGCGAACAGGAUUAGAUACCCUGGUAGUCC
rnacentral:rRNA from 1 species